rnacentral:rRNA from 1 species
UUAAGCGACUAAGCGUACACGGUGGAUGCCCUGGCAGUCAGAGGCGAUGAAGGACGUGCUAAUCUGCGAUAAGCGUCGGUAAGGUGAUAUGAACCGUUAUAACCGGCGAUUUCCGAAUGGGGAAACCCAGUGUGAUUCGUCACACUAUCAUUAACUGAAUCUAUAGGUUAAUGAGGCGAACCGGGGGAACUGAAACAUCUAAGUACCCCGAGGAAAAGAAAUCAACCGAGAUUCCCCCAGUAGCGGCGAGCGAACGGGGAGCAGCCCAGAGCCUGAAUCAGUGUGUGUGUUAGUGGAAGCGUCUGGAAAGGCGCGCGAUACAGGGUGACAGCCCCGUACACAAAAAUGCACAUACUGUGAGCUCGAUGAGUAGGGCGGGACACGUGGUAUCCUGUCUGAAUAUGGGGGGACCAUCCUCCAAGGCUAAAUACUCCUGACUGACCGAUAGUGAACCAGUACCGUGAGGGAAAGGCGAAAAGAACCCCGGCGAGGGGAGUGAAAAAGAACCUGAAACCGUGUACGUACAAGCAGUGGGAGCCUCUUUUAUGGGGUGACUGCGUACCUUUUGUAUAAUGGGUCAGCGACUUAUAUUCUGUAGCAAGGUUAACCGAAUAGGGGAGCCGAAGGGAAACCGAGUCUUAACUGGGCGUUAAGUUGCAGGGUAUAGACCCGAAACCCGGUGAUCUAGCCAUGGGCAGGUUGAAGGUUGGGUAACACUAACUGGAGGACCGAACCGACUAAUGUUGAAAAAUUAGCGGAUGACUUGUGGCUGGGGGUGAAAGGCCAAUCAAACCGGGAGAUAGCUGGUUCUCCCCGAAAGCUAUUUAGGUAGCGCCUCGUGAAUUCAUCUCCGGGGGUAGAGCACUGUUUCGGCAAGGGGGUCAUCCCGACUUACCAACCCGAUGCAAACUGCGAAUACCGGAGAAUGUUAUCACGGGAGACACACGGCGGGUGCUAACGUCCGUCGUGAAGAGGGAAACAACCCAGACCGCCAGCUAAGGUCCCAAAGUCAUGGUUAAGUGGGAAACGAUGUGGGAAGGCCCAGACAGCCAGGAUGUUGGCUUAGAAGCAGCCAUCAUUUAAAGAAAGCGUAAUAGCUCACUGGUCGAGUCGGCCUGCGCGGAAGAUGUAACGGGGCUAAACCAUGCACCGAAGCUGCGGCAGCGACGCUUAUGCGUUGUUGGGUAGGGGAGCGUUCUGUAAGCCUGUGAAGGUGUGCUGUGAGGCAUGCUGGAGGUAUCAGAAGUGCGAAUGCUGACAUAAGUAACGAUAAAGCGGGUGAAAAGCCCGCUCGCCGGAAGACCAAGGGUUCCUGUCCAACGUUAAUCGGGGCAGGGUGAGUCGACCCCUAAGGCGAGGCCGAAAGGCGUAGUCGAUGGGAAACAGGUUAAUAUUCCUGUACUUGGUGUUACUGCGAAGGGGGGACGGAGAAGGCUAUGUUGGCCGGGCGACGGUUGUCCCGGUUUAAGCGUGUAGGCUGGUUUUCCAGGCAAAUCCGGAAAAUCAAGGCUGAGGCGUGAUGACGAGGCACUACGGUGCUGAAGCAACAAAUGCCCUGCUUCCAGGAAAAGCCUCUAAGCAUCAGGUAACAUCAAAUCGUACCCCAAACCGACACAGGUGGUCAGGUAGAGAAUACCAAGGCGCUUGAGAGAACUCGGGUGAAGGAACUAGGCAAAAUGGUGCCGUAACUUCGGGAGAAGGCACGCUGAUAUGUAGGUGAAGUCCCUCGCGGAUGGAGCUGAAAUCAGUCGAAGAUACCAGCUGGCUGCAACUGUUUAUUAAAAACACAGCACUGUGCAAACACGAAAGUGGACGUAUACGGUGUGACGCCUGCCCGGUGCCGGAAGGUUAAUUGAUGGGGUCAGCGCAAGCGAAGCUCUUGAUCGAAGCCCCGGUAAACGGCGGCCGUAACUAUAACGGUCCUAAGGUAGCGAAAUUCCUUGUCGGGUAAGUUCCGACCUGCACGAAUGGCGUAAUGAUGGCCAGGCUGUCUCCACCCGAGACUCAGUGAAAUUGAACUCGCUGUGAAGAUGCAGUGUACCCGCGGCAAGACGGAAAGACCCCGUGAACCUUUACUAUAGCUUGACACUGAACAUUGAGCCUUGAUGUGUAGGAUAGGUGGGAGGCUUUGAAGUGUGGACGCCAGUCUGCAUGGAGCCGACCUUGAAAUACCACCCUUUAAUGUUUGAUGUUCUAACGUUGACCCGUAAUCCGGGUUGCGGACAGUGUCUGGUGGGUAGUUUGACUGGGGCGGUCUCCUCCUAAAGAGUAACGGAGGAGCACGAAGGUUGGCUAAUCCUGGUCGGACAUCAGGAGGUUAGUGCAAUGGCAUAAGCCAGCUUGACUGCGAGCGUGACGGCGCGAGCAGGUGCGAAAGCAGGUCAUAGUGAUCCGGUGGUUCUGAAUGGAAGGGCCAUCGCUCAACGGAUAAAAGGUACUCCGGGGAUAACAGGCUGAUACCGCCCAAGAGUUCAUAUCGACGGCGGUGUUUGGCACCUCGAUGUCGGCUCAUCACAUCCUGGGGCUGAAGUAGGUCCCAAGGGUAUGGCUGUUCGCCAUUUAAAGUGGUACGCGAGCUGGGUUUAGAACGUCGUGAGACAGUUCGGUCCCUAUCUGCCGUGGGCGCUGGAGAACUGAGGGGGGCUGCUCCUAGUACGAGAGGACCGGAGUGGACGCAUCACUGGUGUUCGGGUUGUCAUGCCAAUGGCACUGCCCGGUAGCUAAAUGCGGAAGAGAUAAGUGCUGAAAGCAUCUAAGCACGAAACUUGCCCCGAGAUGAGUUCUCCCUGACCCUUUAAGGGUCCUGAAGGAACGUUGAAGACGACGACGUUGAUAGGCCGGGUGUGUAAGCGCAGCGAUGCGUUGAGCUAACCGGUACUAAUGAACCGUGAGGCUUAACCUU